GUCCUCCCAAGGGGUGGGAGUGAGAGCCAACCCCACAGAAACUCCUAGGAGGGGGCCCCCUCCCUCCUACCCCCGCGGGUGCACUAGGGGGGACCAGCUGUAUUCACUGCAGAGAUAGGAAGACCAGGGAGGCUGUGGCCUGCUCUGGGCAGGGAUUCCAGCUUAGGUUCCUUUCUAAUUAUUCUUCUGUUGCAUCCUAACAGUGGAGAGGAGCAGGCACCUCCUGUGUAGCCACAGUAAACAGGUGGUGGGAGAGCCGGCCCCACAGGCCUCUAUUGCUGCAUGGAAAACAGCAGGUGCCAAAAUAUAAAAAUCAACCAAAAUAGUAAAGGAAUAAAAAUUGUUCACCAAAACCAGGCCACCAGCUUUCCACCCUUUAUGACAAGAGGAGGGGGGCAAUUUUCUCUCCCUUCCUGAAGGUUGCAGGGUUCAGCCUCACUGCAUGAAGAAUUCCAGAAAACCAGGGCUCUUAAGCUCAGAGAUGGUUUGUGGCCUCCACAGACCCAAGGGCCUGGGACCCCAACAGCAGAAGAUGCAUGGUAGUCGCAGGUUCCGGAGGUGCUGGGGUCCCAGGAGCAGAGAGAAGGCACUAGCUCCCAGGGGCCACGGAUCCAUGCCUGCACGCCCAGGCGCUGUGACUCAGGGGUGUGUGAAGUACAGGGCAGUGCUGCCCUCAGCCCCAUGAGCAGCUAAAUCCACGGGAGACCGUAUUACUUGCUCACGACUAUCCGUUUGACUAAUAUUUAUUAUUAAGUGUCUACCCUCUGUGAAGCACCAUCCCAAGUGCUCAAGAUAGGCGUGUGUGGCUGUGAUCAAGAUGGAGUGGGCUGGACGCCAGCAAGUAUCUUUUACAGUUCUGAUUUUUUUUCUUUAUGCUUUUCUGUAAACAAAUGGGCUUGCAUUACUUUUGAAAUUAGGGAGAAGGUUAUUAAAGUAAGUUAUUAGAAAUUGUCUUUGAAUAAACGUCCACGAAGGAAAUAAAAAUGUUGAAAGGAAAUACCAGGUAAUUACACGUCUGCAAGAAGAGUGGACUUUGGACUCUGAAGAGGCCUUAGGAGGUGUGGUCAGAAAAUCAACACCAGCUGGUUCUAGAGGAGUUGAUUCUGAGCUGUUAUUGUCAAAGAAGUCCAAGGAGAAGAAACUCUGCUGUUAGUACCUCUCCUCAUGUUUGCAAGAUGGCUGCAGGAGUUCAUUGCAUCACAAUGACAUCCAGAGAUAGAAAAAAGAGCUAUUUAUUCUUCGGGUCUCUUGUUAUUAGAAAAGAAAUCUUUCCCAGAACUACCUUCGAACCCCUAGCAGAUCUCCUUCCAUUUCUCUUGGAAAUAAAAUGAAUGAUAUGCCUACCAAAGAAAACCAAAAUUUGUUUAGAUGAAGAUAAGAGCACCUUCAUAAACACUUGUCUAAACAGGAAGAAGAG
rnacentral:lncRNA from 1 species